rnacentral:antisense_RNA from 1 species
CUUUCGCGUCCGCGGCGCUGUGAGUGUGGUGGUUCCGCAGGUUGCAGUCAGGCUUCGUACGCUAUUGUCCUUCCCGUGAGUUCCCGUUUUGUGUGUGGUUAGAGCAGCCAGCGGGUACAGAAUGGAUUUUGGAGGAGGGAGUCACCACUGGACCUCCAAGGAAGCCACGUGCAGACAUCUACAACCUUCGAUCUCUUGACGAGUUUAUUGUUGGCUAAAACCAACCAGGAUGAAUGCGGGCGUUGGAAGUAGAAUAUAUACAUAUACAUAUAAAAUUGAAACUGGCGAUGGUAUAUGAGAGGAGCCCUCUGGAAAGAAAAGGACAGACCCUGUGCUUUCAUGAAAGUGAAGAUCUGGCUGAACCAGUUCCACAAGGUUACUGUAUACAUAGCCUGAGUUUAAAAGGCUGUGCCCAUUUGAAGAAUGUCAUUGUUAGACUUUGGUGAAAUUUCUAACUGCCUACCUGGAUAAAGAAAAUAAAAUCUUUUAAAUCAAAA